ensembl:lncRNA
GGACAAAGCCCGGCACCGCUCCAUCCCCUCACAUCCUGUCACGUGACCGGACGACCUGGCUGUCACCCGGGCGGGGCGGGGCGGUGCGCGAGCCCUCCUCGCUGCCAUUUUACUCUAGGAAAAGGCGUCUCACUCCUCGCCGGGCAGACGCGGGGUGAAGCUGGCGGCCGCCAUUUUGAGAAAGGGCACAGCAGAUCCGAACCGGUGGGGAGGUGCGCUGCCGUGCUGGAGGGCGGCGCUGAAGAGCGGGUGAAGCCAUUGAGGAGCCACGUUGGGUGUGGGAAUGUUGCUGGGUAGAGGCGGCGUGUUUGUAUCGCGGACGGACGGAGCUUCUCUGUAGAAAAAACGCUUGCUACAGCGUGAGCGCUGCUGGCGAUAUUUAUGACAAAGCGACCUCUUACAGGAUCCACAUCCGGGGAAUGACGUUUUUCAGUACAUCUUUCCAGGCCUGAAUCCCUCGUCCUCUAGGCACUGAUACAAGAUGUAGAGAUACUGCUAAGCUUGCUAAUGCUCGUGGAUGGGCAGUCCUGUAGUCUGCUUAGAAAGCAGGAGGAGUCCUGUGACACAUAGUGAUACGGUCUGGAUUACCAAUUGGGAUCAAUAUGUAAGCUUAAGGACCAGUAUAUGGAUUUAGUGAAUGGAUGAUGUACUGACCCCUGGAUACCAGGUGGAUAAGGAGGUUUGGUUGAGUCAGCCAGCUUUGUGGAUGCAAGUACUGUGCCAUCAAGGCACAGAGCUGACUGAGCAUGAGUGGAGACUGGGUCCAACCAGCGGUCUCAGUGAGGAAGACAGCUGACUUCAUCCAGAGGGUCUCAGGACCACUGCCACAAAGAGAUGGAGCGUGUGCAAGGAGGCGGAAGCCAAUGAGCCUAAAAAUGUUGGCUUUCAAAACUCAUGCUUCCAUCCUCUGCUGUGCUGAAUGCCCCUCCUUUCACUGUAAAGAAUAACAUCCUUGGAGUCUGUCUUGGUGGAAAGGAUAGUUGGACUACAAAGAACUUUAUUCUGGGAACCCCUCAACUGCCCACCAGACACUGUUCUUAGUAGAUGCCAUGUUAGGAAAAGGCAGGUGCUGAUGAGGUGGAAAAGUGGAAAAAUAACCCCGAAAAUGAGAGAAAAAACUCUAGAAAAGGGGGAAUCUCCCUCCCGGAAAAUCAGAAACGGAACAGAACCCGGCGUGCCCCCACUCCACGCGUUUCCAGCCAAUCGUCCUCUGGCUCCGCAGGAAGUUUUCCUUUCCCUCUGCAAUUCCUUGCGGCAGCGCCCAGCCCCGUUUUGGAUUCGCUUUCCUUCUUUUCGCUGUUACCGAGGUCGGCUGAAUCCCCGCUCCAAGCACCCACAGUGAUGGACCCAUAGGUCCCCAGCCUCCAAUUUAACGAUAUUUUCUCUAUUUUGUGAAAAUUUGGCUCAAAAUAAGCCGUUUUAGUAAUCUGUUUUAAUACCUGUUAUUAUAUAUUUUCUGCUAUAGCAGUAAUUGCUGCUAACUGCACUAAUUUGUUGGAGUUGGGGUUUUCUGUGCAAUCCAGCCUGAAAGCAACGACCUUGGGACCAGCAGAUUGUCGCCCCGCUGCCACCACCCAUGUGGACGCAGGAUGUCAGCAGGGCCAUCGGCCCCUCUGAGGUGUCCCCAGAGCUGCUGCAGCCCCUGGUGACUGUGGUGGCCACCUUGGGCAAGUUGGGGACCAUCCCUGGUGACAUCUCCCUGGGAGGGGACAUGGGCUCACUGCGGGCCAGGCUACUGACCUUCAGCUCUGGCGUGCGCAAAGCCAUGGUGCACCCAGAUGGCGAUGCCACCCUCCUCCGGCGUGCCCUGGGGGCAUCCAAGGAACAGCCCAGUGCCCCCACAGCCAUCACUGACUCGUGGCAGAACGCGGUGACUGCAGUGAAGGACAUCUGGGCCAAGCUGCAGGAGGAUGCUGCAUGCCUGAAGAAUGCCUGUGAGACUGUGGCCACUGCCAAGGCCACCAAUGAGGCCACCAAGGGCCACUUGGUGGAAGCAGUGACACGGGAGGACAAAGCACAUAAAGGGUUGAUAGCUGCCACCAGGGUGGUGCCGUUGUCCUCAGAGGUGGCCCAGGUGACAGAGGUGGUGGCAGCCCAUGAUGCGCGGGUGGCAGAGGCCAGGGAAGGGCUGCAGGCAGCCGCCAAGGCCACUGAGGAGGUGGCAGCGGCAGUGGUGGCAGCAAUAGCAGCGAAGGAGAGGGGACAACAUGCAGCAGUGGCCCAUGGGCUCCUGGAGCAGUUGGUAGCCGCCUGUAUGGGGGCCUAUAACUACUACAGUCAUGUGGAGCAUUGCCUCAGGGACAUCAAGGCCAUGGUGGGUGUCACUACUGGAGGUGGUGGCCCUGAUGUCCCCAAGGCCACCCAAGGGGACAUGGGUAUCCCCAAGGAGCUAGCAGAGAUAGUGGUGGUGGCUGAGGCGCUGUGGGACGCCAGUGCCCGCCUGGCCCAGGAGCACCUCUUGGGGACACUGCGGGGUGUUCGGAGCCUGCUGGCCACCUCCAGUGUCACUGAGGCCACCAAAGUCACCCAGCGCUGCCAAGAGGCCACCAACGCCCUCCCUGGGCUGCUGCCACCGGGGCUGUGCUAGGGGACAAACACGUCCAUCAGGGACCGGUGGUAUCAACAACACCAUGAGAUCAUGGAGACAGCAGAUGGGGCCGUUAGGACCACCAUUCCAACCACCAAUGGAGUGAGGGCUGUCAUGAAAUAUCACCUCAGUGUCACCUCCGUGCAUCCCCUCAACACCUCCAGGGAUGCCAGCACUUCCUGGUAAAAAAUGGGAAAACAGUUUUGUUUUAUAAAAAUUAUUUUGUUUUAAAAAAAUGGUUUUGCUUUAUAAAAAUGUUAUCACCUGACAAGGUUCUGGCUCCGUGUCACUUUAUCCCUAACAUGUCAGCAGGAUCCUCACACAUCUCCUCCUGUGUCCCCUUCUCAUGUUUAUCCUCCUAUUCCUGUCCAGGUCCCUAUGUAUCACCUUCUCAUGUGCCCCUUUCACAUCCCUUCUAUGUCCCUAUAUGUCACUUCUGCUGUGUCCCUUCCAUGUUGCCGUUAAAACCAAAAGUGAUAGUCCUAUCACUGUCAACCCUCGUAAACAGUCAUUCCC